rnacentral:snRNA from 1 species
GGGGAUGAGGGUGAGGGGGCAGCCAUGUCUGUCACCCAUUGGUCCUCGGGGUGGACUCCGCUGAUCUGGCAGGCUAAGCGGGUGUCCCUCCUUCCCUCACCACUCCAUGUGCGUCCCUCCACUCAGUCCAAGAGGGUGACCCUCCCCAAGAGGAGGACUGCUCUGUGGUCAAAGGUGCGUGAAUGGCUGGGCUACCCUGCAAGACCUGCACUGAGCGGUGGGAUGUAGGCACCCCGAGAGCUGGUGUAGCCUACUGUGCCACAAUGCCCACCCCAGACAUUUGAU